CUUUUCUGCCUCUGCUGCGGCGAUGGCGCCCGUGAAAAAGCUUGUGGUGAAGGGGGGCAAAAAAAAGAAGCAGGUCCUGAAGUUUACUCUUGACUGUACCCAUCCUGUAGAAGAUGGAAUCAUGGAUGCGGCCAAUUUUGAGCAGUUUCUUCAGGAAAGAAUCAAAGUGAAUGGAAAAGCUGGGAAUCUCGGAGGAGGUGUUGUAACAAUCGAAAGAAGCAAAAGCAAGAUCACUGUAACUUCCGAGGUGCCUUUUUCCAAAAGGGAAAAGUGGGUAGAAUUGAACUGAGAUCUUCACAUCUUUGUGAAGAUUGCUUUGUUGGCGUAUUUGAAAUAUCUCACCAAAAAAUAUUUGAAGAAGAAUAAUCUCCGUGAUUGGUUACGCGUAGUUGCUAACAGCAAAGAAAGUUACGAAUUACGUUACUUCCAGAUUAAUCAAGAUGAAGAAGAGGAGGAAGAUGAGGAUUGAAACUCAGUUAUCUGGAGUAUUUUGUAUGAAUUCUUAAAUAAAAUUUAGGAAACAAAAAAAAAAA